UACGUAGGUGGCAAGCGUUGUCCGGAAUUAUUGGGCGUAAAGCGCGCGCAGGCGGUCCUUUAAGUCUGAUGUGAAAGCCCACGGCUCAACCGUGGAGGGUCAUUGGAAACUGGGGGACUUGAGUGCAGGAGAGAAGAGUGGAAUUCCACGUGUAGCGGUGAAAUGCGUAGAGAUCCGGAGGAACCCCAGAGGCGAAGGCGGCGCCCUGGCUCGCACCUGACGCUCAGACACGACAGCAUGGGGAGCGAACGGG
rnacentral:rRNA from 1 species